rnacentral:lncRNA from 1 species
AGUCAUCUAGCUCCCAGACUUCAACCAAAUGUCUUGGUUUUUGUCCUCCACGCGGUACAGUCUUAGCUGAUUUACGUUCACAUCUGAAUCCCAUUCCCAAGCAGCAUGGAGAAGCAAGACAGGAGUAGCCCAGAUGCUUUCAGGGACGCUGCUAGGUGGGUUUUCUUCUGUCUUUCAUGAAACACAACUACCACUAUGCCUGAUGACCUGACUUCCAUCCUUGGGACCCACAUGGUGGAAGGACAGUCAACUGUCACAGAUUGUUCUCUGACCUCUGUGAGCAUGCCAUGGCACAGUACACAAGUGAAUUUUUCAAAUGCAUUAUGUCUAAAGCAAUGAUCUUAAAGCCAGAGACCUCACAGAGCUCCACGCCCAAUAAAACACAGAGGUCCAUGUUGUGUAAUCAGGCAUUUUGAACUGUGGAGAUGACAUCAGGAUCAUUUUAAACCUUUCACCUCCUAGUACCUGAGACUGUAAAAAUGGUAAGAAUUAUUAUCCUUUAUAAAGCAAAAGAAAAUAAAAUCCAAUCCAUUCCCCAUACGGAUUUUUUUCAGUCUAUCCCAGGGCAUCUCUAAAAUUAAUAACUGUGAAUUUGCUAUAUCUGGAAGGUUGUGGGUGAUUUUUGUUGCUAGCAAAAAUCUAUUUGCACAUCACUCCUUUCAUUUCCUAGGCAUCUGCCAUCUGCUUUUUAAGUGGUGGGAUUUCAACUCACAGACAGUUGAAACUUAGCAUUAUAUUUAGUUAUUCCUGGCCAGCCUGCUAGUGGGAAACCUGCAUUAACUCUGGGUGGAUAUGGUAACUAGCAGGGCACCUGCAUUAGCUCUCGGUGGCUAUGGUAACUAGCAGGGCACCUGCAUUAGUGCUGGGUGGAUAUGGUAACUAGUGGGAGUAUUAAUGGGGCUGUGUGGUUUUAAGUCUGGAUAGAGUCUCUGUUUCGAGCCAAGUUUUGAGUGCAUUAUGUUAAAGGUGCUCCCAUUAAAUGUUUCUUCUUAGAAGACAUGUUGUGCCGGGCGUGGUGGCGCACGCCUUUAAUCCCAGCACUUGGGAGGCAGAGGCAGGCGGAUUUCUGAGUUCGAAGCCAGCCUGGUCUACAGAGUCAGUUCCAGGACAGCCAGGCUACACAGAGAAACCCUGUCUCGGGGAAAAAAAAAAAAAGAAGAAGAAGACAUGUUGUUCAAGAUGAUAGGAAAUGACCUACUAAGUGAUCUAGGGGCCUUUCAUGGCCUGAUCAUGGAAUACCCUAAUCACAUUAAGGCCAGUAUGGAAACAGGGACCACUAUACCUAAUCCUUAACUUUCGAAUAUUUUCCAAUUAUAUUAAACUUGAGGUGUCAACAACACUGCUCUCUUCUAACCCUCACAUAGUGUACUUAAAGAAUCUGAUGUGUUCCUACUUGUCACACCUCCCUACCCCCUUCCAACCCCCACCAGUGUCUACCUUGGAAAUUCCAUGUGUGGCUCUGAUGGAGAUGACUUGACCUGCCCCAUUCUAAAGUCAUGCCAACAUGAUUAUGACCAGAGACGAGCCUCACAUCCAUUUCUGGUUGGUUCAUGUCUACGUUUGGCCUCUUUCCCCCGGCUUGUCCACCUGCACUUCACCAUCUGCAAUCUUUGCUUUUUUUGGCUUCCAGCCACCUGGAUGCAUCCCUUACGUGCCCCAGGAUGGCUAGAUAUCUGAUUGGCUUAUCUGAGUGAUAGCUCUUGUCAAGGGUAUACAGUUGUGGUCACCCUUAAUACAGCUUUUAGAACAUAAGCCACACUGCGGCUGACCUGAGCCAGGGCUUCACCUCAUUACUACAAACCCUCCCGCACAGGGAGGAGUCCGCACCUGCUCAUGCUCUCCCUAGUGACUUUUCUCUGCCUCUCGGAGUUCCUGCAUUUUGUCUACUUAAUUUGGGAGGUCAGUAUCUUGAUCACUAGAGACAAAGCAAGCAUUGAGAUCAUUUUUGUGAUGUCUGACAUUCUUUUGGUCUGUAGAAUUCAUAAUUAGCUUACUGCAGUCUCUUCCUAUUCAAGGCUCUGUCUCAGCUCUCCUUACCUGUCGGAGAGCAUUACUGUACCACCGGUACUUUGUGUCCUUGGGCCUGGUCAACCCAUAUGGUAGUGGAUCUAACUAUUUCUGUAUGUCAUGCUCAUGUCCUGUGUCCUUGAGUCUCCUAGAAAUAGAAGGUCAACUUGACUGUGUGGUUGGCUCUACCUAGGACUUGGGAAUUUGGGCUUUUGUGGGAGUUCAGUUCCUACCAUGCUGAUGUCAUCAGUGUCAUGGCUGAAUUGAUACCCUAAAACUAAGUGAUUUAGGUGGCCGACAGAGAGACCAGCUUUUUUUCUAUUUUAUCUCUUUAUCAAGAAAAGAUAGAGGGACAGAAAAAAAAGGAAAAGAAAAGUAGAGGAGCUGAACAGAUGGCUCAGCGGGUAAGAGCACUGACUGCUCUUCUGAAGGUCCUGAGUUCAAUUCCCAGCAACCACAUGGUGGCUCACAACCAUCCAUAAUGAGACCUGAUGCCCUCUUCCAGUGUGUCUGAAGACAGCUACAGUGUACUUAUGUGUAAUAAUGAAUAAAUCUU